rnacentral:rRNA from 1 species
UACGAAGGACCCAAGCGUUAUCCGGAUUCAUUGGGUUUAAAGGGUGCGUAGGCGGAUUGAUAAGUCAGUGGUGAAAUCCUGCAGCUUAACUGCAGAACUGCCAUUGAUACUGUCGAUCUUGAGUACAGUUGAGGUGGGCGGAAUGUGUCAUGUAGCGGUGAAAUGCUUAGAUAUGACACAGAACACCGAUUGCGAAGGCAGCUCACUAAGCUGUAACUGACGCUGAGGCACGAAAGCGUGGGGAUCAAACAGG